AAAAUUAUAUCAGCAACUGAUAUCAAUACCCUCAGCUGUUUACAUUUUUACUGUGACGUAAAUAGGUUUUUAAACUCUAAGUCUAAAAUUAAAUUUAUGGAUUAGCUUUUAUCCACUGAUGUUUCUUUAUGGUAGUGGUAGGGAGUAUGUAACUGGGCAUGCAAUGUAAGGUAUGUUAGUGAGUGGAUACUUACAACCGUACUUUUCUGAUUGGUGGACUGUGGGACUAGCUGAGAUAUUAAAUAGGUCUUUUUUUUUAGUUUUCUUCUUGUAAGUUACAAAUAAAAGUAUGUAACUUGGUCCCUAAAAUCGCUUUUUCAUUUGGCAUAUUACAGGUAUAGUGGCAAGGAGAUAUCACAAAACGCUGAGUGAUACCAUGCCUUUUUAGUGGUAUGCUUGUCUUUAUGUUUAGAUGGCAAUAUUUUAAAAUAGGAUAAGAGAUACUAUAGAAACUAUUCUUAACUUCUGUUCUUAACAUCUCCAAAGUAGUUAUCUACUCUUUUGCAAAGGCAGUAAGGCAAGUGUAUGUAUAAGAUUCUUCUUGAAAACGGUGCUAGUGUUUGGUUUAAUAUCCUUUUCAACGUUGUGGAGGCAGACCCUCAGCUGCUCUUUGAGCUGGACUUGGCAUGACUAAGAAUGUCAGAGGAGAGAGAAUCCUUUAAUGGUCAAGAAGAAAAUUUCUGUUGACAGGAAGAUGCAAAGUAACUCUUCUGCAAGCAUUUGGUGGCAUCUAAAUUCUGGGCACGCGCUGCAGGGAGAACGUCUCUUUGGUCUCUUCAGCACUUCUGCUGCUGAGGUCCAGAGGAGAAAAAUAUCUGACUGAAUGUGAGUGGAUGAGGAACAGGGUUACCACGGGCAGGGAGACAGGCAGAAAUGGGGGGAGAAGUAUCUCUGGGGUGUAGGAGUCAGAUGGUACUGGCAGCAGGUUCAACUUCAGCAAAAGAAGUAAUAGUAAGACUAACCUUGGGCCGCCAGCUGCUUUUGAUAAAUACAGCUCUUGGUGUGCUCUCUUGGGUUAGUUCUGUCUUUACGUCUUGGAUACAGCCUAUGAUAUCCUGUAGUGUUAGGACCCUGCCUAAUUUAAUAACAAGUGUAUAAUUCUCAGCCCUGAGUCAGACCCAGAAAUGUACUGUCCAAAAUGACUGUGUGGGCUGGUGGAAAAAGGCAGAUUAACAACGGGAAAUGCCACCAGCCUCCGACAGCUUCUCUCUUUUCAGGUCCUGCAGAGCUACCAAGGCCUAACACACCUUCACUUCAGGUAAGGAUGGUCGGAGGAAGGCAAAUACCUGCCCUUUUGGGCUUGGCUGCCAAGCCAAGGUCACUACGUUGUUGUGCUGACUGCUUGCUGGGCUUCUUCCCAUGCUAUGGCUCAAACACAUCUUAUUUCAUCUGGUGGAGCAUUUGACCAGGGAAAACAGAUCCCUCUGGAAGUUGGAAAUUGAAGAUGCAGAGGAAUUCCCAGAAGGGAAAGGCUUGAGACUGUAGCACUUGAUUUGCAAGGUUUUUACAGAGUCACAAUUCUUCAGGAUGCCUGAUUUUGAUGGAAAACUGUUCUGCACUCAUACAAACUUAUUUACCAUGGAAAGAGGUUUCAAGAGGAGAUCUCUGAAACAGCUUUAAAGCACACCUUUGCCCUAAUUUAACACGGCCUCUAUUCCAGAGACUUCUUCCCCCCAAAAAACUUUAAAAGAACUUUGAAGUUGGAGUGAGGAAGUUGUUGUAUUCAGAAGAGUGAUCUUCAGCCUGCCUCUUUACAGAGCGAGAACAGCAAGGAAUACAUGACAACCAUUCAAGAGAAUAUUAGAAAAAAACUCAGGGAGCUGCACUUUUUUUUUUUUGGUAGCAAGCCUCAUCCGGCAGCAACAGCAGCAAUUCCAGGACCUUCUGGUCCAGAGGCGUGCCAACCUACACAACAUGCAGUACUGGCUGUCAAUCCAAACCCUGUACUAUCAAAGCCAGGCUCUGCUGAUGACUCAAAAGCAUAUCCAUCUACAUUCAGAUAGGUUACCAUGGCAACCUCUCUGGCCUAAAAAGAGAUGGACCACAUUAGUUACUUAGCAGCACCUUUUUGACAGGCGAAACACAAGCUGCUCGCUCCAGAUGAUGGUUUGAUUUAGAAUUAAGUCUGUCUGAGAGCUGCUAUGGCGUUCUCUGAAGUGUUAAUGACGUAACCCAGAGAGAACUUCUUUGGGGACUCAACUUCAUAUUGUGGCCCAGCACCAAAGGGACUGAGCUAUAUGGUGGCUUUGCCUGAGAAACACGAGUUAGCAGAACAGUUGACAUAACCUUUUUCCUACACCGUGAAGAAGUCCUUCUGAAGAUCUUCUAAGAUCAACCCAGUCUGCUGAGCUAAGGAGGCCACUCUUGCAGAGGAUAUGCAGGACACAAAGGAUUAUUUGAAUUGCUGCUGGCACAACACAUCUUCUAUAUUGAAGCAUCUGUUCAAAGUACAAAUAUUAAGCCCUGGAAAGGUCACAGCCCCCAUGGCUGAUGUGAAAGAAGUCUGGAGUUCAGGCAGAAAUGUACACACUCCAAAGAAAAAACUGCAUGGCUACAAGGGCUUUGUAGGGUUUAGAUCACAGAACGAAGACUUCCAGGACCUAGGGUGAAGAGGGAAAUGCAGCUCUCUACUCAGUGUAGCAAGACUGAAAAGAGAAAAACUUGGAUAUAUUACCCAUAAUCACACUCUGCUGUCAUGGAGCUGUGUGGCUGAAACAACAACAACAACACAGUGUAUCUAUACUUGAAGCAGGAGAAAGACAUGGAGCCAGGCCAACAAGAUACUAAGCAUUUCCCAUAGAUGUACUUAGCUCCUUAACUAGGAAAACUGCUUCAUCCCAGAAAUGGUAGAAAUAGUCUUACUGAUAUAACGUGUGCUCAGAAAGCCAGAAGGAUAACUACUGACAUGGCUAUAUACCUUUAAGUCUACCACUGGCAGAAUGCUGGGCUGAAUAACUAACGUGCUACCUUCAAACACCAGUUACAUACCUGAGUAGAGAUUCCUCACUUGAGUUAUGAAGUCCUGGUAAUUGGCAGGAAGUGGGGAAGGUUCUGAAACUGUGAGUACCAUGUUUAUCACACCAGCAGUCUAUCUACUUCAGUAUUGUUUCUUGUACAGCAGUUUCCACUACUAGAAAUUUUAAAGAAAACAAUUACAGAACAAGCAGACCUAACACGUCUGUAAUACUCUUUAGUGAGUAGAAGCCUUAAAGCAUGAAAGAAAUGUAAUUUUCAACUUUUUCCUCUGACUUAUUGAUCUC